rnacentral:sRNA from 1 species
UCCCUCCUUUCUUCUUCUUCUUCUUCUGCUUC